AUUGAACGCUGGCGGCAUGCUUUACACAUGCAAGUCGAACGGCAGCGCGGGCUUCGGCCUGGCGGCGAGUGGCGAACGGGUGAGUAAUGCAUCGGAACGUGCCCAGUAGUGGGGGAUAGCCCGGCGAAAGCCGGAUUAAUACCGCAUACGACCUGAGGGUGAAAGCGGGGGACCGAAAGGCCUCGCGCUAUUGGAGCGGCCGAUGUCGGAUAGCUAGUUGGUGGGGUAAAGGCUUACCAAGGCGACGAUCCGUAGCUGGUCUGAGAGGACGACCAGCCACACUGGGACUGAGACACGGCCCAGACUCCUACGGGAGGCAGCAGUGGGGAAUUUUGGACAAUGGGGGCAACCCUGAUCCAGCCAUGCCGCGUGCGGGAAGAAGGCCUUCGGGUUGUAAACCGCUUUUGUUCGGGAAGAAAUCCUCUGGGCUAAUACCCCGGGGGGAUGACGGUACCGGAAGAAUAAGCACCGGCUAACUACGUG
rnacentral:rRNA from 1 species